UCUAAUGAAUGUGUCGACCUUUGUUUUUCGAUUAGUUAUUUCGUUUUAAAUGUGUAACGUUAGAAACAAGGACCUAUUUGUUUUUUAGCGCAAGUCCACAUAGUAGUACGGUUUCCGGUUUUUUCUUCUUCUUCGAAGAAAAGCAUAGCGUUGAAGUCGCGCAAUGGUGUGCUGCCUAGGUCUACUUCCUGAAUUUGUAAAGAGAUCCUCUAGCCGUGACCUUCUCUGUGCGGAUCAAGAUGAAAGAGGCAGGUCUGUAUGAAAGGUUUCCUGAGAAUGCCAAGCUCCUUGUGGACUUUAAAAAGUACCUAACUGAGAGCUUGAAGGUCCUCAACUGCCAACAGGAGCUCUGAACUUCGUCACUUCGAAGAGCACAGAGACCAGACAUUAUCUGACCAGCCUACACCGCACGGACAUUAGUGCAGCCACCGUACUCAACUACAUCAAGAACAUUAUCAGGUUCUUAGGUUACCUCAAGACAAGGCUGGAUUUGGAACAGACAGACGUAUGGCCACAUUGGUGCUUAAGUGAUAAGCUUAUGUUAAAUAAUUUUUUUAAACUGUUAUGGCCACAUGUUAGGCUAAGUGAUAGGCUUAUGUUCAAUGAUAAAAAAAGACAUCUAUUUGGAAAAAUGAUGGAAUGAUUGGAAAUAAAACAAUUUAUUGAUUUCUAAUGC